rnacentral:rRNA from 1 species
UACGGAGGGUGCGAGCGUUGUUCGGAAUCACUGGGCGUAAAGCGCGUGUAGGCGGUCUGCUAAGUCUGAUGUGAAAGCCCGGGGCUCACCCCCGGAAGUGCAUUGGAAACUGACAGACUGGAGUCCCGGAGAGGAGGGUGGAAUUCCUGGUGUAGCGGUGAAAUGCGUAGAUAUUGGGAGGAACAUCGGUGGCGAAGGCGGCUACCUGGACGGGUACUGACGCUGAGGCGCGAAAGCUAGGGGAGCAAACAGG